AAAUCCAGUGUGAAUUGUUGGUCCUUGCUCUCCUAUCCCAGAGAAAAGUCGUGAAAAGCUCAGGGGGUGACCACAUCCACAACUUGAGGCUGGAACUAAGGAAACAUGCCGAUUAAUUUUCAGGUCCCUUUGCCAGCUUCUCGUGUCCCUUAACAGUGAAGUGGAAACAAUCUGCCGUGAAGAAGCUCAAGUCAAGUGUCCCGUCCUGCAGUAAAG